rnacentral:misc_RNA from 1 species
AAGUCGUAACAAGGUUUCCGUAGGUGAACCUGCGGAAGGAUCAUUAACGAGUUAUUGAACAGGUUGUAGCUGGCCUUCAGGGGCAUGUGCACGCCUGGCUCAUCCACUCUUCAACCUCUGUGCACCUGUUGUAGGUCGGUGGAAGGGUAAGUCUAAGCGAUUGGACUUGCUUGGAAGCCUUCCUAUGUUUUUACAAACGCUUCAGUCUAAGAAUGUAUCUCUGCGUAUAACGCAUUUAUAUACAACUUUCAGCAACGGAUCUCUUGGCUCUC